rnacentral:tRNA from 1 species
GAGGGUGUGGCUCAGUGGUAGAGCACUUACCUCCUAUGUGAUGGGUGAGGCCCUUGGGUUCAAUCCCCAGCACUUA